UUUUACUUUCUUUUCUUGGACCUACAUAUCAAGGAGUAAUAUUCAAACUAACAAAAGAUUGACUAAGUACAACAACAUUUCAAUGUCCGGUGCAUCUUGCAUUCUUAUGUGCACACAUGAGGAACUAAAAAGCAUAGGGUAUAUGAAACACAGUUCAGCAUUCCUUGGGAAGAAAUGGACAAAAUUUGAACAUCAAAUACUUCAAAAAAUAAUAAUGACAGCACAUGAACAUGCACUGUGUUUCUACGUUUACGAAACAUCCAAAGAUGUUCACAUGAAUACAAUUGGAGAAAUCCAAGGCAUGAUUUCGAGAGGAAAAAAUGGUUAUAAGUUACUUCCAUAACUAUUUAAUGUUGAUGCUUACCUUCCAAAACUUUAUCGUUUUG
rnacentral:misc_RNA from 1 species